UGUUUAGUCCCUGCUCCUUUCAUUGGAUCAAGUUCAAUGUACUGCUGAAUUCUAUUGUGUAGUAUGCAGAUAGGGAUGAGGUGCAUAACUUGAGUGCUAGAGGCUUCUCCCCACUGAAUUAUCCAGUCUUGGCUGUUUUGGGAGCGGUGCGUAUGGAGUACCUGUUUAUUUUGUUUAUUAAUUGCAGCAAGGGACAAGAUGAUAUUUGUGUGCUGUGUGCUGAGCCAGCAGGGUGCUUGUGACAACAAGCCACUUACAUGAGCCUAAGUUGUGCUGGCGCCCUGAGAAUCCUUAAUCUCCAAGUCUUGGCUAAGCUCCAAGAUCCCUGCCCCCUGCCCUUUUAUCUGCCUGCUUGAAAGAAAGGCUGCAGUGAAGUUCUUCUCCCUGUCUGUGUGUUUUAGCUGGUUGCUCUAGUAUCUCUGCAGUUUGUGUUGCAAGUCUGAGUUCCCUCCCCAGCCACCUAGUUGAUCGGCUCCAGUGCCCUAUGGUGCUCUCCCUUGUUUGGUGACCACGUCCACCAAAACCCCACCUCACUAUGACUAGGAUUCCUCGAUGGAUUUCUUCCGUGUGGUAUUUGUUCCAUGCUCAAAUAAGAACACCUAAAAGAAGUGGUGUUUGAAGGAGUCUACUUCAGUGCCUGCUCAUCAAGUGGAUGGAGCUAUCUAACUAAAGGUUGGGUAGAAGGAUCUAGAACCUCCUCUCUGCAACAAAGGCAAGCCCCGGUGCAUGCAACCCCUUCCUUGUGUUUUUAAAUUAUUUUUACACACUUUAAGUCUAGUGAAUGUGCAUUAGGUUUAUAGGAGUUGCUUGGAAACCCUUUGAUGCAUUGGCUACCUUGAAAUCCAUUCCUUUUAUAGAUACUUCUGGCGAAGUAUCAAAAUAUAAUUUACAAAAAAUGCUUAGCCCUGCUUAUAAGCAGAUAGAGUUUGUCCUUUGCACUUAUGCCUAGCUCAGGUUUAUCCUGAGGAAGGAUGACUUCUACCUGCAAGAAUAUUUUCAUUGGGAGCAUGGUGGGAUCUUACUGCAAAGUUCCCUAUAAUGCUCUUUUCCUAAGGAUGGAAGUACUUAAAUCGGGACUUGGGCUAGGAACAGGUGAUGUUCUACCCAGGUUAGUUAAGGAUUGGAUGCGUAUGUAGGCCUGUUGAUCAAGGACUAUCUUAACUAGCCACAUGCCCUGGAAAUGGGACAGGGUAAGCUUGAACCCGGCUAUUCCAUACAUGAAAAGACAAUCGCGCACUGGGAGUGGAGAGAUGGCGCGAGUGGCACGUACCCUCCUGGCAAAGGAUCGCCUAAAAGGGGUGGUGUGCUCUCGGGUGGCGCGGACCUGUUCAUGCAGUGGAGGAUCCGUGGGAAUGGUAGACAUAUGCAAGAGUUACGAGAAACAUAUGUCGUGUGGUUAGAGAUCCUCAGCUAAGUAAAUCGAUUCGGAUCGCCGUUAUAUCCCCGGAGAGUGGAGACUUGAUCGCUGCCCUGCAACCUAAGUCAGGAUAUAAACAUUAUGAGUAAAAAAUGAUGUUGUAUUGAUGAGAUGGUGAAAUUAGACUAGGUGCAAACAGAGUCUAUUAAUAUUUAAUCUGGCAUUAAAAUAUUGAAAGUAAGGACUCACUUUAGUAAGCUUUUUCUGCAAAAGUAUCUAAGUUGAUUCUUGCUAAAAGCCUCUCCUUGAUUUCUAAAUCCAUCAUAUCCUUGAGAGUCUUUUUCCUUAGUCGGGUAAGACUUGCGAAAGUACACUCCGUACUCAGGGUUUUCGAACCCAUGUUGUUGUAGGUGAUGAGGAGUACUCUAGGUGUUCCUGUGGCUGGAGGGUGUUUCCUGUUCUGAAGGAGGAUUAGUUAGGCUUGUGUAUAAGCUUUGGAGGGUUCCUACCUUCCUGCUAUUGUAAUAGGUUAUGCACUUUGAGUAUAUCAGGACUUAUAAUAAAUGUAACUCUUCCUAUGUAAUAACCUUCAGUUUUAGAAAUGAAAAGAAUGUUUUGUAAA